rnacentral:rRNA from 1 species
GACGAACGCUGGCGGCGUGCCUAAUACAUGCAAGUCGAACGCAGUGGGGACGGGUGAGUAACACGUGGGUAACCUCCCAUCAGAGGGGAUAACACUUGGAAACAGGUGCUAAACCGAUACUGAUGGAUGGACCCGCGGUGCAUUAGCUAGUUGGUGAGGUAACGGCUCACCAAGGCCACGAUGCAUAGCCGACCGUAGAGGGGGAUUGGCCACACUUGGAAUGAGAAAAGGCCCAGACCCCCACGGGAGGCAGCAGUAGGGAAUUUUCCGGAAGGGAAGAAAGUUUGACCCGGCAACGCCGCGUGAGUGAAGAAGGUUUUCGGAUUGGAAAACCUUGUUGUUAGAGAAGCGGUAUCUAACCAGAAAGCCACGGCUAACUACGUGCCAGCCGCCGCGGUAAUUC